GACGAACCGUGCGAACGUUGUUCGGAAUCACUGGGCUUAAAGGGCUCGUAGGCGGCCAACUAAGUCCGACGUGAAAUCCCUCGGCUUAACCGGGGAACUGCGUCCGAUACUGGUUGGCUUGAGUUUGGGAGAGGGAUGCGGAAUUCCAGGUGUAGCGGUGAAAUGCGUAGAUAUCUGGAGGAACACCGGUGGCGAAGGCGGCAUCCUGGACCAAUACUGACGCUGAGGAGCGAAAGCCAGGGGAGCAAACGGG
rnacentral:rRNA from 1 species